CCUCCUCUAGCCUGAAUACAGUGGAUAAGAAGCUGGCGGAGACCUAAGAGUACAGGUCACCUUUUCUGCUUUGUCACCGAAAUACAGACUUGGAAACGGAUCUUCUGAAGGUCAUUUGCAUCUCGGUGUUCACGUCUUCCAGUAUUUAUAACCUUCUGAACCUUUACCUCUCCUUAGCUGCAACUGUUCCCUUCUCCGAUUGCUAUCCUCCAAGACCACAGUCCUGGAGUGUUAACAGAGUUCUAACCUCCAUAUUUCUCCUGGUCGGCCCUGUCCUCGCCUCCUCCCUCUCUCCACCCAGUGAAAGCCCCGCCCUUCUCUCCUCCCUCCCACCCCAGUCUGUCAUACAGGGACAUCACCCUACAGCAGUUCAGACUGUGUGGUUCGCAGGAAGCAUACAUUGGCUUUUUAAAAUUUUUUCGAGUUCCCAGCUCACAGUUGGGGAGAACCUAACGCCAGCCUUCGAUUGAAGCGAGACCCAAGGACAGUGAAAAGCUGGGUCCUAAUCUGGAGUCCUGCCAGCCUGACAUGGGAGACGCCACCCGCUUUCCCCUCCCCCAGCGGAUCCUUCACGACAGCCGUCCCUGAGCGCUCGUCCUCAACCGGGUAGCUCCUGCCCCUUUAAGCGCCACCUCCCCCCUCCACCACCGCCGGUCUCGGGCUGGGGGAGGAGGCGCCGCCGCCCGGCUCCGCCACCUGCGCCGCCGCCGCCGUCCGGCCCGGCCCUGCUUCAGG